UGAGCAAUCUCAGGCCUGUGGAAGAAC
rnacentral:piRNA from 1 species